rnacentral:rRNA from 1 species
ACGGGUGAGUAACACGUGGGUAACCUGCCCAUCAGAAGGGGAUAACACUUGGAAACAGGUGCUAAUACCGUAUAACACUAUUUUCCGCAUGGAAGAAAGUUGAAAGGCGCUUUUGCGUCACUGAUGGAUGGACCCGCGGUGCAUUAGCUAGUUGGUGAGGUAACGGCUCACCAAGGCAACGAUGCAUAGCCGACCUGAGAGGGUGAUCGGCCACACUGGGACUGAGACACGGCCCAGACUCCUACGGGAGGCAGCAGUAGGGAAUCUUCGGCAAUGGACGAAAGUCUGACCGAGCAACGCCGCGUGAGUGAAGAAGGUUUUCGGAUCGUAAAACUCUGUUGUUAGAGAAGAACAAGGAUGAGAGUAAAAUGUUCAUCCCUUGACG